rnacentral:snRNA from 1 species
GGCCAUGUGUAGUGGCAGUAUCAUAAUUUGUGAGGUUAAACUGUGGCAUGAUUAUUGCUAAUUGAAAACUUUAGCUGAGGCUCUCAACUGCAACAUUCUCAAAGACGAUGCACCUUUGCCCACAUACUGAACUGCUCUUCAAGUCAAUGAUUCUUUACACCCUGGUG